rnacentral:sRNA from 1 species
AGCAGCCGCGGUAAUUCCAGCUCCAAUAGCGUAUAUUAAAGUUGUUGCAGUUAAAAAGCUCGUAGUUGAAUUUCGGGAUCAAUUGAUUGGUCAUGCCUACGGUAUGUACUAGUCAUAUUGGUUCUCACCUUCUAAUGAACCUUAAUGUCAUUCACUUGAUGUUUUGGGGAAUUAGGACUGUUACCUUGAAAAAAUUAGAGUGUUUAAAGCAGGCUUACGCUUGAAUACAUUAGCAUGGAAUAAUGAAAUAGGACAUCGCAUUCUAUUUUGUUGGUUUCUAGGAUCGAUGUAAUGAUUAAUAGGGAUAGUUGGGGGCAUUAGUAUUCAAUUGUCAGAGGUGAAAUUCUUGGAUUUAUUGAAGACUAACUACUGCGAAAGCAUUUGCCAAGGAUGUUUUCAUUAAUCAAGAACGAAAGUUAGGGGAUCGAAGACGAUCAGAUACCGUCGUAGUCUUAACCAUAAACUAUGCCAACUAGGGAUCGGAUGAUGUUAAUUUUAAAUGACUCAUUC